rnacentral:rRNA from 1 species
AUUGAACGCUGGCGGCAUGCCUUACACAUGCAAGUCGAACGGUAACGCGGGGCAACCUGGCGGCGAGUGGCGAACGGGUGAGUGAUACAUCGGAACGUGCCCAGUAGUGGGGGAUAGCCCGGCGAAAGCCGGAUUAAUACCGCAUACAACCUACGGGUGAAAGCGGGGGAUCGCAAGACCUCGCGCUAUUGGAGCGGCCGAUGUCAGAUUAGCUAGUUGGUGGGGUAAAGGCCUACCAAGGCGACGAUCUGUAGCUGGUCUGAGAGGACGACCAGCCACACUGGGACUGAGACACGGCCCAGACUCCUACGGGAGGCAGCAGUGGGGAAUUUUGGACAAUGGGGGCAACCCUGAUCCAGCCAUGCCGCGUGCGGGAAGAAGGCCUUCGGGUUGUAAACCGCUUUUGUCGGGGAAGAAACGGUCUGCGCUAAUACCGCGGACUAAUGACGGUACCCGAAGAAUAAGCACCGGCUAACUACGUGCCAGCCGCCGCGGUAA